CGCGGGUGAUGGAGUGUCCGAAAUUUAACUCACGCGGGAACGGUGGGCCCAACGGACGAACUUCCCUUGACCCAUCUUUCCCUUCAUUCCAUGGGAACCUCAAAGGGGAAGGAAGCAGAGGAGGAGGAGGAGGAGGAGGAGAAAGAAGAAGAACGUUUCUUUUUUUCCUCCCAAGCCUCUCCAUCAAGUUUGGCUGCGGAGUGAUUCCCAGAAGGAGGAUUGCGUUCUUAAGAAGAAUUCCAGCUUCCAGUCGUUCGUUAUCUGGUCAUCCGAAGCAAAGGUUUUUUGCCCACACAAGUUCUGAUUCUAAUUUGUUCUCUUCUUUCUAUUGCCUUCUUCCAUGGUAUGCAAGUUGGUGGCCGUUGGGUUUGAUGAAGAGCCUAAAACUGUGAAUACUUCAUUCAUGCUGGUCCGUUGGGCGGUAGGGGUUUUGGGAAUUCGAAGGCAAUGGAGGACAGAGGCAGAGCCACUAUAUUUUUCAGGCUGAGGUGAGAAUCGGGACUUUAGUUUAUUAUUGGAAAGAAGUGAUCAUAUGUUGUUCAAGCCAAGAGGUAAAAAUCCAGUUAUAACGUGCAAGGCGACAAUUUCAUCAUCAGGAUAAGCAAAAUAAGGUUCAAGCUUAUGCCCACAAAGAACAAUUCCUUUCCAUAUAGUAAAAAGGAGAAAAGUUUUAAAAAGAAAAUAGUUGUCUGUAGUCUAUUCUGCAUGACAUAUGGUUAAGGUGGAAGGCCGUACUAUUGGAACCUAAUGACACUGAAAUAAAUGCUGCUUAAGCAUAGAUCUUUUUUUUUUUUUUUUUGGAAUAUGAAAAAAUCCUUGUGUACUUCUUUUGGGUGGUAUUUGUUUCUUGAAUGGACUAUCUUCUGACUAAA